rnacentral:ribozyme from 1 species
UCAUGAGUUUGAGGCCAUAGCAGAAGCACUCAUGGUGUGGCCUGUCAGAUUCCAAGAGCUCUGUGAAUUCUUCU